rnacentral:tRNA from 1 species
UCACUAGUGGUCUAGCGGCUAAGGAUCCUGUGCUCUCACCGCCGCAGUCCGGGUUCGAGUCCCGAGCAGCGAA